rnacentral:lncRNA from 1 species
GGUGAGAGGUUUGCUGAUGUCAACAUUGUGAACAGCCCCAUGGUGGAGGUGAGGUUAUGGUUCAACAUUGUGAACAGCCCCAUGGUGGUGGUGGGGUUAUGGUUCAACAUCGUGAACAGCCCCAUGGUGGUGGUGAGGUUAUGGUAUGGCCAUUGUGAACAGCCCCAUGGUGGAGGUGAGGUUAUGGUUCCACAUUGUGAACAGCCCCAUGGUGGUGGUGAGGUUAUGGUUCAACAUCGUGAACAGCCCCAUGGUGGUGGUGAGGUUAUGGUUCAACAUCGUGAACAGCCCCAUGGUGGUGGUGAGGUUAUGGUUCAACAUUGUGAACAGCCCCAUGGUGGUGGUGAGGUUAUGGUAUGGCCAUUGUGAACAGCCCCAUGGUGGAGGUGAGGUUAUGGUUCAACAUUGUGAACAGCCCCAUGGUGGAGGUGGUGUUAUGGUUCAAUAUUGUGAACAGCCCCAUGGUGGUGGUGAGGUUAUGGUAUGGGCAGGCAUAAGCCACAGACCAUGAACUCAAGUGCAUUUUAUCGAUGGAAAUCUGAAUGCACAGAGAUACCGUGAUGAGAUCCCAUUGUCAUGCCAUUCAUCCUCACCCAUCACCUCAUGUUUCAGCAUGAUAAUGCACGGCCUGAUGUCGCAAGGAUCUGAACACAAUUCCUGGAAGCUGAAAAAAAAACUGUUCUUCCAUGGCCUGAGUACUCACCAGACAUGUCACCCAUUGAGCAUGUUUGGGAUGCUCUGGAUAUACGUGUACGAUAGCGUGAGAUUCGUAUCUGUAUUCCCAGUCAUGUGAAAUCUGUAGAUUAGGAUCUAAUUAAUGUAUUUCAACUGACUUAUUUCCUUAUAUGAACUGUAACUGUAACUCACUUGCAUUUUGGGUUUAUAUUUUUGUUCAGUAUAAUAAAAAGAUCAGUUGUAAAUGUUUUAUGUUUGAUAUGAUGUUAGUAACACUAAGUCAUUCCAUCCUUUCACUAAAUGGUAGUAACACUAAGUCAUUCCAUCCUUUCACUAAAGCUCUAAAGUAACUUUUAAUUGACAGAUGCCUCAUUUAUAUGUUGUGGAUGUUGAUGAAAGGAAAUCCCAUAUAGGCUACUGACCAGGACUUUGUUAUGGCAUCUUCUGUUUGGGAGUCUCAGGUCAGGUCAGAGCCAUGAUCAGAAUGUGUCUCUGUCUAUUUCCAGCCCUGACAUUUCUACCUGUCCUGAUCUAGUGUUUGACCCCUGACCUCCUCACACCGUCUCACUGUCCAUGUCUGCUUUUAGCUCCCACCUCUACUUCACUGUGUUAUAAUGGACCUUAUGGUUGUUAUGUCACCUCUGUAACCAGCUAUCAAACAUACUGACCUUUCUGACCCUAUCCCACCUCUACUUCACUGUGUUAUAAUGGACCUUAUGGUUGUUAUGUCACCUCUGUAACCAGGUAUCAAACAUACUGACCUUUCUGACCCUAUCCCAUGGCCCUACUUUCUAGAACUAAACAUUUAAUGUCCUCUGAGUUUUGCUUACUGUCCAUUUACUUAUGUAUUAUGUAUUUGUUGUAUAUUGGGGUUGUGCCUCAGAGCAUCAUGGGGGUUUGCAUGUGUUGAGAUGAUCACGUUCCAGAUAAAUGGUUGAUC